GUUUAAAGCAGUUGUAAAAGAUUGAAGUUGGAAAAUUUAGAUAGAUAGAAUAGAUAUAUUGAUGCUAGCAUGUUUCUAGCAUGAUUAGCAUUUUGCUACCAUCUUGUUAGCAUGGUUCUAGCAUGAUUAGCUUGUUUAAUUUAUUUGCAAUUCUGUUUUUUUUUUUUCGUUGCAUUAUGAAACUGUGCAAUUAAAUGUGUAACGUCUUUUAAAUGUAACCACUCUUUAUUCAAACGCAACAAUUAUUUACAGAAUUUUAAAACAAAACAAAAAAUAGAAAGAAAAAUUCCUAUGAAUUCUGUUUGGUCAGACAAUACAAUUUGAAUCAUUCCACAUUGUGAGAUUUGCUCUUUUAUGAAUCAGAGGCAACAAUUUGACAUCAAACAAAACUGCGAUCAAUGACACAGUAAUGAAACCAAACGACAUUUUUUAAAGUAACGAAAUGAAAUGCCUCUACCAAAAGGCUGUCGAAUUACACAUGCAUACACGCACACAUCCCGUUCCACUCAAACGAUGUGAAAUUACAUUCAAAACAUGUAUUAUUAACAGUCCUAUGUGCUAGUUUAGAACUGUAGUCGAAGCAGUAGGAAGAUGAGAUAUUAUGAAAAAGGACUUAAUGUGCGUCAGGAACUCAGAGUGAGUGUAGAAAUGAUAUUUGUGCUGACUUUCUGUACUGUGAAUGUGUUUGUGAAGUUCAUCCGGUUCUCAAGAUGUGGGUAGUUACAACGUCCUGCUCCCAUGUAAAGCAGUUCACAGUAGCUUCACGCAAGUUCACUGCCGGCUGCAGGGGCGUGUUCAGAUGACUUCAGGAGGGUGCUUAAAACUGCAUAUGAAAAACCAAAUAAACAUCCAUGUCAAAAAUACAGUAAGACGUUUACAUCAGUAUCAUGUGACUGUAGUUUAUGACUGUGCUUCUGGUUUCCCUUCAGGACACGGCUGGACAUCACAUGUCGACCAGCACAGUACUGGAAUUGUUUAUUCGUUGUAUAAAAAUAAACAAGAUGUCUUUAUAAUCAAGCACUGAAUUCUGUUAAUAUUAUCACGAACUGAACAGGCCUUGUUUUUUAGGUGAGAGAUCAGACAUGGUUGGGGUUCUGGUUGGUUGCUAGGGUGUUGUUGGAGGUUCUGAGUGGUUAAUAGGGUGUUGCUAGGUAAUCGUUACAGGGUUUUGGGUGAUUACUAAAUAGUUCUCAAGGAGUUCUGGUUGGUUGCUAGGGUGUUGUUGGUGGUUAUUAGGGUGUUGCUAGGUAGUCAUUAGAGGUUUCUGAGUGGUCUUUACGUAGUUGUUAGAGGUUGUGUUUCUAGGUGGCUGCUAGGUAGUCAUUACGGGGUUUUGGGUGAUUACUAAAUAGUUGUCAAGGGGUUCUGGGUGGUUGCUAGGUAGUUGUUGGAGGUUCUGAGUGGUUACUAGGGUGUUGCUAGGUAGUCAUUACAGGGUUUUGGGUGAGUACUAAAUAGUUGUCAAGGGGUUCUGGGUGGUUGCUAGGUAGUUGUUGGAGGUUCUGAGUGGUUACUAGGGUGUUGCUAGGUAAUCAUUAAGGGGUUCUGGGUGGUCACUAGGUAGUUGUUGGAGUUUUUGAGUGGUUACUAGGGUGUUGCUAGGUAAUUGCUAAGGGGUUCUGGGUGGUUGCUGGGUAGUUAGAGGUGACAUCAGCAGCAAAAGAUAUGGACAGUGUUUCCCUUCUAAGAAUGCAUACAACAGAAUGUAAUUUCUCCCUUUUAAGAAUUUGUAAGUCUAUUUUGUUGUCCAAAUUCUGCAGAAAUAGUUGUAUUUCAUUAUUUGCUUUCAUCACAGUUUCUCCUUGCUGAGCAGAUCUGAGACCCACCAGUUGAGAAGCACCUGUUUAUGGCCAUACAAAGUCCAUCAAGUGCCAUACAAAUACAUAAAUAUCAAUGAAAACCAUGAUUUCAAGGUGAAAACGAGCAGUGAAUGGCUCACCCUCAGGGUUCUGUGUGCCGUUCUCUUCUUUGGCACUCUCUGGAUCACCUGAAGACAAAGCAUAUGUUCUCAUUCAACAGUUACCAUACUAGCUGCUUUAUCUAUGACUUUUACUUGGUUAUAUUUGGUGACUUUAUCUGUUUGUUUAUUUUUUUUCUGACACACUGGUGUUAUAUCUUUCACUUGGAUCUUAUAAGUUGCAUUGAGAAAAUAUUGCUGGAUAUAAAAAAAAAACUGUGUCCGUCUUCGUUUCAGGCUGCAAAGCAACAAAAUGUGAUUAUUUUUAAGGGGGCUGAUUCUUUUCUAUACCCACUGUACAUGCAUAAAUGGUCAAAUAUACACAAAAAUCUCAAAAUGUGCGUCUGGGCAAGUACAAACCCGAUUCCAAAAAAGUUGGGACACUGUACAAAUUGUGAAUAAAAACAGAAUGCAAUGAUGUGGAAGUUUCAAAUUUCAAUAUUUUAUUCAGAAUACAACAUAGAUGACAUAUCAAAUGUUUAAACUGAGAAAAUGUAUCAUUUUAAGGGAAAAAUAAGUUGAUUUUAAAUUUCAUGGCAUCAGCACAUCUCAAAAAAGUUGGGACAAGGCCAUGUUUACCACUGUGUGGCAUCCCCUCUUCUUUUUAUAACAGUCUGCAAACGUCUGGGGACAGAGGAGACAAGUCUCUCAAGUUUAGGAAUAGGAAUGUUGUCCCAUUCUUGUCUAAUACAGGCUUCUAGUUGCUCAACUGUCUUAGGUCUUCUUUGUGGCAUCUUCCUCUUUAUGAUGCACCAAAUGUUUUCUAUGGGUGAAAGAUCUGGACUGCAGGCUGGCCAUUUCAGUACCCGGAUCCUUCUUCUACACAGCCAUGAUGCUGUAAUUGAUGCACUAUGUGGUCUGGCAUUGUCAUGUUGGAAAAUGCAAGGUCUUCCCUGAAAGAGAUGACGUCUGGAUGGGAGCAUAUGUUGUUCUAGAACUUGGAUAUACCUUUCAGCAUUGAUGGUGCCUUUCCAGAUGUGUAAGCUGCCCAUGCCACACGCACUCAUGCAACCCCAUACCAUCAGAGAUGCAGGCUUCUGAACUGAGCGCUGAUAACAACUUGGGUUGUCCUUGUCCUCUUUAGUCCGGAUGACAUGACGUCCCAGUUUUCCAAAAAGAACUUCAAAUUUUGAUUCGUCUGACCACAGAACAGUUUUUCACUUUGCCACAAUCCAUUUUAAAUGAGCCUUGGCCCAGAGAAAACGCCUGCGCUUCUGGAUCAUGUUUAGAUAUGGCUUAUUUUUUGACCUAUAGAGUUUUAGCCGGCAACGGCGAAUGGCACGGUGGAUUGUGUUCACCGACAAUGUUUUCUGGAAGUAUUCCUGAGCCCAUGUUGUGAUUUCCAUUACAGUAGCAUUCCUGCUAUUUGAUUCUCUGAAUCUUUGGAUGAUAUUAUGCACUGUAGAUGAUGAUAACUUCAAACUCUUUGCAAUUUUUCUCUGAGAAACUCCUUUCUGAUAUUGCUCCACUAUUUUUCGCCGCAGCAUUGGGGGAAUUGGUGAUCCUCUGCCCAUCUUGACUUCUGAGAGACACUGCCACUCUGAGAGGCUCUUUUUAUACCCAAUCAUGUUGCCAAUUGACCUAAUAAGUUGCAAGUUGGUCCUCCAGCUGUUUCUUAUAUGUACAUUUAACUUUUCCGGCCUCUUCUUGCUACCUGUCCCAACUUUUUUGGAAUGUGUAGCUCUCAUGAAAUCCAAAAUGAGCCAAUAUUUGGCAUGACAUUUCAAAAUGUCUCACUUCCAACAUUUGAUAUGUUAUCUGUAUUCUAUUGUGAAUAAAAUAUAAGUUUAUGAGAUUUUUAAAUUAUUCCAUUCCUUUUUUACUCACAAUUUGUACAGUGUCCCAACUUUUUUGGAAUCGGGUUUGUAUUUACAUAAAGGGUGUCAGUUAUGUCUUAAGUGGAUAAUUAAGUGUAAUUGAUGUUAUGAUCAUGAUAUGAUAUUUUGGAAAGAGUCCCCAUCCCUAGCCACUAGUGGCACCAAACAAAAUAACAAAGAUAAUGAUUUCAUUCAGAGUGUGUGAUGCAUGAACAUACAGUAUGACUGUUUUCAAACAGGUUUCCUUAACUAUUAGACCUGCUCCAAACUCCACAUUAUUGGUUAAGCAAAUGUUAUGUUGAGACCAAGUAGAAAAAGACAUUUGAUGGCCCAGAAACAGCACAACUCUCCUGUUGUGUUUUAGACUGUUAGUGUUUUAGAUUUCAUAUAUAUAAAUCAUGUGUCAGCACAUGUAACUAUGACUGUGUUUUACUGAUUCACAUCUGAAUGUGUUCUAGAGCAUGCAGAGCCACACACCUCUCUGGACCUUGAAGCACAGUUUCUUCUUCUGGUAGGUGAAGUAUCCGAUUAUGGCACCAACAGCUGCUACUGCAAUCCCACAAACAACACCAACAACCGUACCAGAUCCACUGUCUGCAACAGAACCACCCACACCAGGUCAACAAGUCAAAGCAGGUAUUCACAGUCGUGUCACUAUGUGGCUAUAUGGUCACUCGAGUGUUCUGGGUGGUUGCUAGGGAGUUGUUAGGGAGUUCUGAGUGGUUGCCAGGGAGUUGUUAGGGAGUUCUGUGUGGUUAUUAGGGAUAUGCUAGGGAGUUCUGGGUGGUUGCUAGGGAGAUGCUAGGGAGUUCUGGGUGGUUUCUAGGAAGUUCAUAGGUAGUUGCAAGCAGUGCGGGGUAGUAAUCUGGAUUACGUAAUCAGAUUCCAAAAAUUAAAAUUACUUGUAAUUAGAUUGCAUUAUAAAUUACUCGUAAUUAGACUACAGUUACUUUUUUGUUGAUUAUAUGAUUAAAAAAUUAUUCACAUAAUUGCAAUUAAUCUUCAUAAUUUAUGUAUUCUCCCUAUUUCUUUUUUUCUUUAUCUUUUAAAUUCAUUUUUAAAAUAGCCUACCACUUAUAUACAUUCAGAAAACACAUAUAGAUAAUUAUAUGCAUUGGGAAACCUUGACACGAUGUAACGUUUAUUGCACUUCAUGUUGUUAGAUUUCCCCCAUGUCUCUCUGAUCUUCAGGUCUGUAGAUGUGGCUCGGGUCCCCUCCUUGAAAGCAAGUCUGUGGGAUUUUUUAACCUGUUUUAUUGUCCAGCAGGUGAAAAUAUUUGGGUCACUUAUUAAUAUUUAUGCUUAGUGUUUUGAACAAACCACUAACACUGAGCACUAGUAACAGUGAUGCUUGACUUAACAAGCACCAGUGAUAACACAAUCAGACACAAAGAUCUGCUCAUUCCUCAUUCUGCUUCAUGUGUUCACUAAAGUCAACAAACACAUAUCAGUUGUUAAAAUCCCUGUUUAUUUUUUAUAAUAUCAGUGAAUAAGAAGAAACAAGAGAUUCAGAUAACGGUCCACUAGAUGGCAGUAUUAUACUGGAACCACUUCAGGUUUAUAUUGGAGCCUAUUUCUGCCACAUAAAAAAAAAAAUAAUAAUAAUAAUAAUAAUUAUAAUAAUUUGAUAAAUCAUAAUUGACAAAAUAAUCUUUAAAAUUGUUUAAAUUAAAUAAAUGAAAUACAAUUAUGAGAUAAAAGUCUAAAUUAUGGAAUACUAAGUCAUAACUGAGUUUAAGUAGUCAAUUAUGACAAAAAAGUCAAUAUUAUGACAUACUACGGAGGCGACAGGCGACAGGCAAGACUGAACCUGACUUACAGAUCCUGCAGGGGAUGAAAGAGAGCGAAAGUGCUGCCCGCAGAACAAAAGACGCUCAACAGGAGUUUAUUUACUUAGUGACACAUAAGAACCAUGAGAGGAGACAUCGCUUGGAAAAACUGACCCAUGAUUAUCCUGUCAUCAUUUACUCACUCAUGUCCCUCCAUUCACAUUUCUACAUUUAGCAGAUUUAAAGUGACUUUAAAGAGGAACAAAAGAGCCAACAAUAUUCACCAUAUAUUCUAUCUAACAUGCUUUAUGGAAGAAAGGAAAUGAUAAGGGUAAUUUAGAUUAGAUUAGAUUUAACGCAAUGACAAUAAAGUUUGAUCUAAUCUAAAUUACUCUUAUGUCCUUUCUUUCAUAAAACAUGUUAGCUGAUAUUAGUCAGAAUGUUUGUUUUAUAAUGUUAAUCUCUAAAAGCAUGUUUCAUAAUUAAGACUUUAUGUUUCAUAAUUAUGGCAUUUUAUGUCAUAAUUUUGAUUUGAGAUUUCUACUUUUUCUCAAAAUUAUGACUUUUUAAAUGUCAUAUUUUGUUUUUCUUAAUCUCAUAACUGACAUUUUGUCAUAAUUUCGAAUUUUUUUAUUAUUUCAAUCUAGAUUUUUUUUUCCUCUAAAAAAAGUCUUACUUUGAGAUUUUUUAACCUAUAUUUUAAACUUUUAUUAUGACAUGUCGCAAACCCAUAUUAUUUUCAUCAUUUAGACUUUUUUUUUUAAUGAUUAUGACAUUUUGUCAACUUUUUCAUCUCAUGAUGAUGUUUUUGUCAUAAUUUCGAUUUCUCAUAAUUACAUUUUUUACUUCUCUUAUAGUUGACAUUUUGUUAUAAUUUUGACUUUUAUCUACUAAUUUAAACCUCAUAAUUUUAAUUUUGUAAUAAUUUUGACUUUUCAACAAAAAAGUUUGUUUUAUAACAUCAAUUCUAUUCAUGAUUUAGACUUAUUAUUUAAUAAUUAUAUUUUAUGCCAUAAUUCCAAAAUGUUUACUUUUUUAUCCAUAAUUAUGACUUUUUUACAUUUUAUCUGGUAAUUUUGUCUGGUUUUGUCAUCAUUAUGAUUUUUUUUAUUUCAACGUGUCACUCCAAACCAUAUUAAUUUCUUUCUUCCAUGAAACAUGUUAGAUGAUCAUGUCAGAAUGUUUGUGCUUUAUUACGUCAAUCCAUAAAAUGGCAUGGUGGCAGUUUCACAUCACUGCUUCCUGCCUGCGUAGAAAGCAAACGUGACGUGUUUAGCAGCUGAUCACUAUUUGUUCUGAACACAUGAAGCAGAAGAAGGAAUGAGCAGAUCUUUUGUGUCUGUUAGACUGGGUGGGACGGCAGGUAUUACAGAUGAUCAACUCAUGCUGGAAAUGAUGAUCGUGUUAUUACUUUUUUUUUUUUAAGUCAAGCAUCACUGUUACUAGUGCUCAGUGCUAGGAGUUUGUUCAAAACACUAAGCAUUAGUACUUAUAAGUGACCCUAAAUAUUUUCACCUGCUGGACAAAAAAAAAAUGGGUUUAAAAAAAUCUCACAGGCUUACUUUGAAGGAGGGAACCGAGCCACAUCUACAGACCUGAAGAUAAGAGUGUUGUGAGGGGUGAAGUACCUAGAACUCCCUAACAGCUACCUAGCAACUACGCAGAACCCUCUAAUGACCCCAAGCAACACCCUAGUAACCACCCCGAACCGCUAACAACAAAAAUCCACCCAGAACCAUCUAAUGACUUCUAGCAACACCCUAGUAACCACCCAGAACCCCCUAAGAACUACAUAGCAACCACCCAGAACCCUC
ensembl:lncRNA